rnacentral:rRNA from 1 species
AUGGCGUUCAAUAGAGCACAAUUGCUUGUUGCCUUCGUUCUGGGUUUGCUCCUCAUGUGCCACGGUGCGGAGGCUUUCCAUCAGCUUUUCUCCUCCAUGAACAAGGAUUACAACCACGGAUGCAUGGACUGGAAGGAAUGCAUGAAGAGUUGCCAAAAGGGGGGGUUCGACGGCGGAUUCUGCAUACUCUCCAAAUGCACCUGCUUCAAAAAGGGUAUGCAUGCACCACCACCACAACACAAUGCGCCGGAGUUGGCGCCAUCCGAAGGGCCAUCGGAGGCAAAAGCCAUGUUCGCAAGGAAUGUUUACAUGGGUACGGGUAAUUGA